CAAUAACAAGGGAUGGUGCCAUCAGGAUAUAUGCAGUUUCCCCGAGGUCCCACAUGGUGUGCGGGGGGACCGGUCGCUGUUGGUUACCUGGUACUUCAAGGAUGGGAAAGUGGCUGAGCUAGACGGCAUCCCCAUCAGCACCCGGGCGGGUGCCAUCCUGUUCUCCCAGCAGCAGGGCCAUACUCAGGCCUCGUUCCUCCUGCGUGGUGUCACCGUGGCUGACGGGGGCCUCUACCGCUGCUAUGUGCGCCAAUCCAGGCAGCAUGGGGAGGGGACGGUCCAAGUGCAAGUUGCAGCACUGCCGCAUCCUGUGGUGCCCAGCACUGUGGUGGAGAUGCACAAGGACAGUGCCCUGGUUUGCUGCGUGCGAGGGUUUUAUCCCCAGCACAUCACAGUGUCCUGGCUCCGGAAUGGUCAGGAUCUAAAUGCCUCCUUCAUCUCAGACACGCGUCAGGAUGAGACGUUCAGCCUGGUGGCUGUCUACAGGUUCACCCCCAUGGCACAAGACCUGGGGGCUACCUUCUCUUGCCGGGCCAGGCACCCUCUGCUCAACCAAUCUCGCCAGGCUGAUUUCCAAAUCUCUUUCCCAGCCAGCAGCCUGUCGAUGGGGCUCUGGAUCCUGCUGUGGAUGCUGCGUGUGGCCCUGCUGCUGACGAUGGCCGGAGGGGCCUGGCUCUAUUUUGACACAGGCAGCCGGCCGAGGAAGGUGAGGGCUGAGGCAGAGUCUGCCU
rnacentral:lncRNA from 1 species